UACAGAGGUCCCAAGCGUUGUUCGGAUUCAUUGGGCGUAAAGGGUGCGUAGGUGGCAUGGUAAGUCGGGUGUGAAAUCCCGGGGCUCAACCCCGGAACUGCACUCGAUACUGCCGUGCUCGAGUACUGGAGAGGAGACUGGAAUUUACGGUGUAGCAGUGAAAUGCGUAGAUAUCGUAAGGAAGACCAGUGGCGAAGGCGGGUCUCUGGACAGUUCCUGACGCUGAGGCACGAAGGUCAGGGGAGCAAACGGG
rnacentral:rRNA from 1 species